ensembl:lncRNA
UUUUCUCUUCUCAUUUAAGUACCAGGAGGAGCUCUUCUUUCUGAGGGUGAACAAGAUCCUCUGAUUCCUCCACCUCGCGGUGCCUUUUGGAGAGUGACUUCUUUGUUGCUGCUGGCUGAAUGAUUGCUCAUUCGUUCCUCCAUGAUGGGCCGGGCCUUGGAGGACUCAGCCCAGCUGUUCUGCAUGUGCUCUUUGGUGGAAGCCCAGAAGAAGUCAUGAUGAAAAUAUCAAGGACUGUGCUGACCUCGAUAUCCGCAAGACAGUCAAAGUGGUACUUGGAAGAAGCUCAAGACGGGUUAAACAGUUACGAAGGGGCUUAAAAGAGACGCUGAUCUGGCCUUUGCUAACUGAGAGGAAAGACACAAUUCCCCUCCUCUUUCCAAGAGCAUGUGAUGUACAGCGCACACCACAGGAGCAGGACAGCAAAGAGUGGAGAUCUAGUCGAGUGUUUUGCUCUCAGUGAGGAGGAACAAGCAGUUUAUCACAUGCAGAGCGGAGAGUGCGGGUCGGGAUGUCGGGUUGGACCAGGUCCUGGAUGUAAGCUGGACCCCAUCCAUUCACAGCACGCAUCUGUCAGCAUCCUUGGGAAACUCCUACAGUUGUGGAUAGGAUGGAAUGUGCUCCCCAGACACCAGCUGGAUAUCAGCGUGGUGGAGAGCAACUUCUCCACUUCCUCCACCUGCUUCCACCAGCUGAAGCUUCCAGUACAAAGACUACUGCCACUCUGAAAUGGAC